rnacentral:rRNA from 1 species
GAUGAACGCUGGCGGCGUGCCUAAUACAUGCAAGUCGAGCGAACAGACGAGGAGCUUGCUCCUCUGACGUUAGCGGCGGACGGGUGAGUAACACGUGGAUAACCUACCUAUAAGACUGGGAUAACUUCGGGAAACCGGAGCUAAUACCGGAUAAUAUAUUGAACCGCAUGGUUCAAUAGUGAAAGACGGUUUUGCUGUCACUUAUAGAUGGAUCCGCGCCGCAUUAGCUAGUUGGUAAGGUAACGGCUUACCAAGGCAACGAUGCGUAGCCGACCUGAGAGGGUGAUCGGCCACACUGGAACUUGGACACGGUCCAGACUCCUACGGGAGGCAGCAGUAGGGAAUCUGCCGCAAUGGGCGAAAGCCUGACGGAGCAAGGCGGCGUGAGUGAUGACGGUCUUCGGAUCGGAAAACUCUGUUAUUAGGGAAGAUCAAAUGUGUAAGGAACUAUGCACGUCGUGACGGUACCUAAUCAGAAAGCCACGGCUAACUACGUG